ACAGAGGAGGAGAGAGAUCCUGU
rnacentral:miRNA from 1 species